rnacentral:rRNA from 1 species
CAAUAGCGUAUAUUAAAGUUGUUGCGGUUAAAAAGCUCGUAGUUGGAUUUCUGCUGAGGACGAUCGGUCCGCCCUCUGGGUGAGUAUCUGGCUCGGCCUUGGCAUCUUCUUGGAGAACGUUACUGCACUUGACUGUGUGGUGCGGUAUCCAGGACUUUUACUUUGAGGAAAUUAGAGUGUUUCAAGCAGGCGCACGCCUUGAAUACAUUAGCAUGGAAUAAUAAGAUAGGACCUUGGUUCUAUUUUGUUGGUUUCUAGAGCUGAGGUAAUGAUUAAUAGGGAUAGUUGGGGGCAUUCGUAUUUAACUGUCUGAGGUGAAAUUCUUGGAUUUGUUAAAGACGGACUACUGCGAAAGCAUUUGCCAAGGAUGUUUUCAUUGA